CCUACGGGAGGCACCAGUGGGGAAUAUUGCACAAUGGGCGCAAGCCUGAUGCAGCCAUGCCGCGCGUAUGAAGAAGGCCUUCGGGUUGUAAAGUACUUUCAGCGGGGAGGAAGGUGUUGUGGUUAAUAACCUCAGCAAUUGACGUUACCCGCAGAAGAAGCACCGGCUAACUCCGUGCCAGCAGCCGCGGUAAUACGGAGGGUGCAAGCGUUAAUCGGAAUUACUGGGCGUAAAGCGCACGCAGGCGGUCUGUCAAGUCGGAUGUGAAAUCCCCGGGCUCAACCUGGGAACUGCAUUCGAAACUGGCAGGCUAGAGUCUUGUAGAGGUGGGUAGAAUUCCAGGUGUAGCGGUGAAAUGCGUAGAGAUCUGGAGGAAUACCGGUGGCGAAGGCGGCCCCCUGGACAAAGACUGACGCUCAGGUGUGAAAGCGUGGGGAGCAAACAGGAUUAGAUACCCGAGUAGUC
rnacentral:rRNA from 1 species